UACAGAGGGGGCAAGGCGUUAUUCGGAAUUAUUGGGCGUAAAGGGCGCGUAGGCGGCCUGGCAAGUGGAAGGUGAAAUCCCUCGGCUUAACCGAGGAACUGCCUCCCAAACUGCUUGGCUCGAGACCGGGAGAGGUGAGUGGAAUUCCCAGUGUAGCGGUGAAAUGCGUAGAUAUUGGGAGGAACACCAGUGGCGAAGGCGGCUCACUGGACCGGUACUGACGCUGAUGCGCGAAAGCGUGGGGAGCAAACGGG
rnacentral:rRNA from 1 species